UAGGGAAUAUUGGGCAAUGGGCGAGAGCCUGACCCAGCCAUGCCGCGUGCCGGAUGAAGGCCUUCUGGGUUGUAAACGGCUUUUCUCAGGGAAGAAAAAGACCAUGCGUGGUACACUGACGGUACCUGAGGAAUAAGCACCGGCUAACUCCGUG
rnacentral:rRNA from 1 species